rnacentral:lncRNA from 1 species
UAAAAACCGCCGCAACACCAUCCAUUGCCGUCACGAACCAAGUUUCGCUACUGACAUCGAACGACCGAAUGGGUGUAUUCGUUUAUGUCCUUUCACCUCUAUGUGACCCAGUUAUACGAGAGUUCCGCCAGCAUUGUACCGGUUCUCGUUAAGCAACCAAACUUGGUCACAAGUACGCCACCACCAAGAACUGUGCUAACUUUGAGCCGCUUUUGUCCGACUAUUUAAGAACUCCAAAUUGUUAUUUCUCACUCGCCCUGCUUGCCGUGUAAGGUAAUCGUUUCAAUCUUUCGAUUAGUCGUAAUCGUUUUGUUCAUGUCCGCUUGCCUCGAAACUGAUCUAGACGAAUGUUGGUUAGUUUCGGAGACUUGAAAAUUCAUUAACAAGUACGCCACUUAAAAAAAAAACUUUUAUAUACACUUGUUUCAUGGGUUGACCUUCAAAGGAAUCAUCACAUGGAUAUGUUAGUUUUUUUUUAUGAAGACAAAUAUAUCUUAUUUAUGUUUGGUUAUUUAACCAUGGCUUCACUAAUCCACACAAGGUCAUUGAGUCCUUCUGAUCAAACUUUGAAUCUGCAAACUUAAGAUUUAGCCCUACUAAUGUGUUCAGAGAGGUUGAAGAAGAUAUGAUAUUCAAUUAAAAUAAUAUAUGAUAACAAACUCAUAACAAUUAUGAAUUUUUAAAUUUUAAGAAAUUGAACAUAUUUGAGGCCAACAUUCGUGGCCCCUGUUCUAUACAAAAAAAAAAAAAAAACAAUAUGACAACUUAAUUAAUAUUUUUUUUUAUCUAUUUAUUUUACUGUUAGUCAAAGGCAUAAUUCAAAAAAAAAAAUAUUUUUAUACUAAUAUAAACGUUGAUGAUUGAAAAUUUAAUCGUAAAUUCGUCUAGCUAAUAAUAUGUAUAAAAAUAGAUAAAUAUAUUUUUUUUAACUAUGAGAAAUUAGUUGGCUUCGUAUCUCGUAUUAUAGGUUAUUUCCCAUCGUCGUUUGAAGUUGUCCUCAUAUUCUUUUAGCGCGCUUAGUUCUAUAAGGAGUCACAAGCGCAACCACUCAUAAUCUCGAGACUUCAUCAAUCCCGCUCGCGGUUUAGCAUUACCAUGCGCAAAACUGUUGACGAUAUAAUUAAAGAUGCAAGGAAUCUAGUAGGAUUGCCUAGAAAUACAUUUAAAACUUUAAUACUUGUUAUUUUGUAACUUACUUUCAAACUUGUUGUAUCGUGUUUCCAAAUAACGUACUAAAUUAUUAUCAAUGAAAUGAAAGU